rnacentral:rRNA from 1 species
AACGAACGCUGGCGGCAUGCCUAACACAUGCAAGUCGAACGAAACCUUCUGGUCUAGUGGCGCACGGGUGCGUAACGCGUGGGAUCCUGCCCUUAGGUUCGGAAUAACUCCCCGAAAGGGGUGCUAAUACCGGAUAAUGUCUUCGGACCAAAGAUUUAUCGGCUUUGGAUGGGCCCGCGUUGGAUUAGCUAGUUGGUAGGGUAAAAGCCUACCAAGGCGACGAUCCAUAGCUGGUCUGAGAGGAUGAUCAGCCACACUGGGACUGAGACACGGCCCAGACUCCUACGGGAGGCAGCAGUGGGGAAUAUUGGACAAGGGGCGAAAGCCUGAUCCGGCAAUGCCGCGUGAGUGAUGAAGGCCUUAGGGUUGUAAAGCGCUUUUACCCGGGAUGAUAAUGACAGUACCGGGAGAAUAAGCACCGGCUAACUCCGUG